rnacentral:tRNA from 1 species
ACCUACUUAACCCAGCGGUUAGAGUCUUGCUUUCAUACGGCGGGAGUCAUUGGUUCCAAUCCAGUAGAACUGA